rnacentral:rRNA from 1 species
GUGUAGCGGUGAAAUGCGUAGAUAUUGGGAGGAACACCAGUGGCGAAGGCGGCUACCUGGACCGGAACUGACGCUGAUGCGCGAAAGCGUGGGUAGCAAACAGGAUUAGAUACCCUGGUAGUCCACGCUGUAAACGAUGGGUGCUCGGUGUCGCGGGUAUCGACCCCUGCGGUGCCUUAGCCAACGCGUUAAGCACCCCGCCUGGGGAGUACGGUCGCAAGGCUGAAACUCAAAGAAAUUGACGGGGGCCCGCACAAGCGGUGGAGCAUGUGGUUUAAUUCGACGCAACGCGAAGAACCUUACCUGGGUUUGACAUGCAUUAGGUAGGCGAUGAAAGUCGCCUUCCCUUCGGGGCUAAUGCACAGGUGCUGCAUGGCUGUCGUCAGCUCGUGUCGUGAGAUGUUGGGUUAAGUCCCGCAACGAGCGCAACCCUCGCCCUCUGUUGCCAUCAGGUUAUGCUGGGCACUCUGAGGGGACUGCCUCGGUGAACGGGGAGGAAGGUGGGGAUGACGUCAAGUCCUCAUGGCCUUUAUGCCCAGGGCUACACACGUGCUACAAUGGUUAGUACAAUGGGUUGCUAUCUUGUAAAAGACCGCUAAUCCCAAAAAACUAACCUCAGUUCGGAUGGUAGGCUGCAACUUGCCUGCUUGAAGCUGGAAUCGCUAGUAAUCGGAGAUCAGAACGCUCCGGUGAAUACGUUCCCGGGCCUUGUACACACCGCCCGUCACACCACGAAAGCUGCGUGUACCAGAAGUCAUUGUGCUAACCCCAAUGGGGAGGCAAGUGCCUAAGGUAUGCGUGGUGAUAGGGGUGAAGUCGUAACAAGGUAACCGUA